UUUAACUUGUUGGAAAAAGCUUUGAAACUAUAGAAAUGGUUAAUAUGCAUGUAUGUAUAUUAUAAUAUUGUAUGUAUUUAUUUAUUUUAGUCUAGAAAUUGAACUUGGUUUUACAUAAAUUAUGAACAUAAAUCACAAGUAAGAUAUACAGAGUAAAUUAAAAUAUUAAUAGCACAGUAAGUUCAAUAAUCUCAAAUAUCGUAAACUUGAAAGAAACUGUAUUAAUUGAAGGAGCUGUAAUUUAAUUUAUAUUGUAACAAACGAUUCUCUUAUUAAACACUCAUAACGUUCGCUUUUCUUCAUUGCUGUGAUUAAGUGAUGCGGUUUAUUUAUCGAUUUAAAAUUAUAAAUAUCUUACUGCUAUUAGAGAGUAUAUCAUGAUACUCAAUCAUAUCAUCGAAUCAUCAAUCAAAUCAUAUCAUACUACAACAUAAUAAAAACAUUAUUUAUUAUGUAAGAUUAUAUAUGAUAAUACUGAUAUAAACGUAACGAACGUAUACAUAUAGUAAAUAUAUAUACUGGAAUAUAGUGAUGGAAAUUUUGCAAAAAAAUAUUUAUAUUUUUUGAAAAUGUCUAUUUCAAACUAACUACAAACAGCUCAUUUUUGGGUAACAAAUAUCCAUUUAUAGUGAAGCACUGUUCUAUGAAUUUCUGUGGUCUCUUACUGUCACACCAAAAAAACUCUGCCCUGUAGUAGAGUUGUAGAGCUCUUUGGAAGGACUUCCCAUGUGAGGUAAGGCUACUUCAUUCAUCUCUGUCAACCUAUGGUAACAAGGUAUGUCAUUAGUCCCUGUUUCAUUAUCAGAUAAUAACGAGUAACAUAGAACACAAUGUACAAAUAUAAAUACGUACAAAUGCGAAAAUUCUAUUAGAGCAGGAAUAUAUCGCAAUAUGUAUCUCCGUGUCUGUAAAUAAUGAUAAAUGAUAAUUGUUAUUAAUGUAUAAGGUGCUUCUAUCUUAUAUUUUAUUAUGGAAAGUAUUUUAUUAUUCAAUUUUGUUUGAUUUAUGCAUGCUUCUAAUUAGAUUUUGUCGUGGCGUAUCCAGUUCUAUAUAAAUUGUUCUAAAUAAAUUGAAAAUUUUAGGGUGAUUUGAUAAUUAUGUAAUAUAAUAAUGUUCCAUUUCUUAUAGGAGGGCAAUCUUAAAAUUUAGUACAUUGUUAAUUCAGUCUAUAGCAUAAGACUGUCCUUUUAUUUGGCACUAAACACAUAUUCUUCCACCUUUCUCAUAACUUUAAAGAUAAUUCGUCAGAAUAUUAAAAUAUUAUUUGUUUUAAGUUAUAUUACAUAUUUGACUUCUAAGAAACUUCUUUAAUCAUAUCUUUGGACCUGACAAGUUCUUCCCACUUUUAAUUAUUUUAUGUUAAAAUAUGCUGUUUGAAUCUUUUUAAGAUAAUUUACAGAAAUAUAUUUAUUAUAUUCUUUGCUUCUGACCUGUAAGCGAUAUAGUAAUUUAUGCAACGAAUUUUACAAAGACAACGCACGAUGUACGACAACGUGUUAUAUGCAUGAAGGAUUGCGACCUGUACUUCGAACCCAACACCCAUUUGCAAUCUACGAGAACAUCACGUGUAACACAACGGGUUCAGUUUAUAUCUGGAAGAGCCACGAAUUCGAACCACCCUUGAUACCCGUGGAACCCGGUUCCAGCGUAUCCGGUUACGAGAUUCCAGACUGCACGUGCCUAUUGUCGUCUGGUGCUUCACCUGACACGUGGCAAUUUUCAAUUCCCCGGUUCGUACGAUGUGGACUGCUUGACUUUUUCAUGAGAUACUUGACAGAGGAGGCAUUGUAUAUAAUACCUCGGCAUUAUAAGGAAGAAGAAGUGAUAGUUAUGCAAAAUAUGGGAAGAGAGUUAUGAAAAAGCCUUCGUUCAAAAGAUAUGUGGCAAGGACAAGGUAUAUGAAAAUGAAAGGAGUAAAGUACAAAGAAGUAAAAUACGAAGUAAAAUACAGGACUUCUUUUAUUGAAGAAGGGGCGAUGAUUGUGCAUGUAAGGGUACACUUCGCUGAUCUUGAUGAAAUUUAGGAUGCUCUGUGAUAAAAUCGAGUUCUUGAACAUCGAGGGUGGUUCGGUACUGGAGUCGGGAUAUAAAAGCGAAGGUGCAGUUUCUAGAUCCGAAAGAGUGGGUCAAGUGAUAUCGACCAUGCAGAAGCAGAAGAGAUAUAGAAAGAUUCGGUUUCGCGAUUCAUUCUGGGAGUAUCUUUGUUUAGCCUGAACAGCCAAUUGCUAUAUUUGCUUUUUGUCGUACUAUAGCGUGUCGUCUACCGGUCGAGACAGACCAACUAUAUUUGUCUAUGCUUUCUGUUGACCUAUAGCAAGCGUGGCAGCGACGCAAUUCGUUGCUCAACCAUUAAUAGCUUUUCCCGUAUUCAGCCUUUUUCAUCUUUGACGUCAGCAUUGGCCAUGUCUUGCUGGAUGAACUUGCACGAAGAAUGCAUUUUAUUUAAGACGACGAAUGAUUCGUCUCGAGUACACAAGUCAUGCGAAAGUCGUAUACGAAUCAGAACACAAAUCUAGAAUGUGAGAAAUGAUUUAUGUUCGUCAAUUAUCUAGAUACCGUUUUAAUUUAUAAACGGAUUCUGGCUUUACCAUACAAUUAGCGAUUGAUUCGUUCAAUCACGUUUCUUAAUUACUUGUCCAAAUCCGUGAUAAAUUAAUCUCGCGAAUGGAAAAUUUCUGUGAAAAUUUCGUGAGUAAAAUUCUUUGAACGAAUGUUUGAUCCCCAUAUAGUACAUCAAAGUUUUGUGAAAGAUUUAUAGUAAUGAUAGUAAUUAAGUUUUAAUAAUAAUUUUUUUUAACGGUUUUAAGAUAAUCAAGUCCUUAAACAAAAAAUGUUUUUACAUUUUAAUAAAAUUAUUUAUUCAAUGAAGAACACGUAAAUAGUCUUCGUAAAAGAAUGUUAUAGAAAGUAUUGCGAAUUAUAAAAUGUAUAAAUGUAACUUCUAGGGAAAUAGCAUAAAAUUACUCUAUUUAAGAACAAUUACGCUAUAUUAGGCAAUAACCCGAUUGAGUUUGUUAUAUUACUCCGUUUGUAGUCUUUCAAGAAGAUUUUAUAAAAGUCUCACAAUACAAAAGAAUUUUAAAUAUAGUACAGAUGUACGCAUUAUCUUCUUUCUCAAAUGAAAUCAUGAAAAAUAUUGAAUUUGUUGAACAUUUCAUAUACGAGCAUUAUUUUUUUCAGUAUUCAUUUAUUUCCAAUCGUGAUACACAGCUAGGUAUCUGUAUAAAUCAUAAAGAUUUUAAUAUUAAAAGCAAAUAUCGCAUUAAGAAAAGCGAGGCAAAACAUAAACUCUAUAAAUUUUAUCGAAACCAUCCUCUUUAGUAAAAUUCCAUCAUUUUUUUAAUAUAAUUGUGCUGAAUAAUACUAUACAUAGUAUACGUCAAUUCAUUCAUUAUUAUGCACAACAACGAUUACAAUCUAUAACGCAAGGUUUAUGCGUUUUAUAGUGUUUCGUUUGUGAGGUCAUACGCCUUUCCUCCUUCAUUGAUGCGAUGCUCGACCAUUACCUUCCUCCAGUUUACGCCUACGUGUACGCGCAGUCUCACCUGGAAGACCUGCACACAUCGCGGUAGAUCUCUAUCCCGUACAGCUGCUCAAUGGUACCUACGUUACCCACAUUUUUUACGUCAUGAAUAAUUGUGUCAAUAAAUAUUCACGAAUAUUUUAACGUAUUUGCUACAAAAUAAUUACUUCAAUAUAACAAAAUAUGUAAUUCCCCCAAG